AUUGAACGCUGGCGGCAGGCCUAACACAUGCAAGUCGAGCGGAUGAAGGGAGCUUGCUCCUGGAUUCAGCGGCGGACGGGUGAGUAAUGCCUAGGAAUCUGCCUGGUAGUGGGGGAUAACGUCCGGAAACGGGCGCUAAUACCGCAUACGUCCUGAGGGAGAAAGUGGGGGAUCUUCGGACCUCACGCUAUCAGAUGAGCCUAGGUCGGAUUAGCUAGUUGGUGGGGUAAAGGCCUACCAAGGCGACGAUCCGUAACUGGUCUGAGAGGAUGAUCAGUCACACUGGAACUGAGACACGGUCCAGACUCCUACGGGAGGCAGCAGUGGGGAAUAUUGGACAAUGGGCGAAAGCCUGAUCCAGCCAUGCCGCGUGUGUGAAGAAGGUCUUCGGAUUGUAAAGCACUUUAAGUUGGGAGGAACGGCAGUAAGUUAAUACCUUGCUGUUUUGACGUUACCAACAGAAUAAGCACCGGCUAACUUCGUG
rnacentral:rRNA from 1 species